GUUUUCAGAUGGUGUCAUACUUGAUCAUCAGAGAAAUAAUCUAGUUAGCGAAGAGUAUUGUGACUGUGCUUUAAAAUUUUGUAAAAAAUAUUUCAAGCCAGUGUUCUACAUCAAGCCAAAUAUUAUAGAAGAUUAUUACAAUUUGGUCGACAGAGAUAUAAGGAUAAUUAGUACUAUUCAUGAUGUAGUCAGGAACCAGGUUGAUGGUAUUGUUGUAACGGACAAUGAAAACGUUCAAUUACCGCCUCGUGAUAUUAUUAGAUCUAUCGUCAGAGCUAUUAGUUUUGCUGAAAAGAAUAUCAAUUAUGAAGAUGAUUAUUUAAAACUGUCAUUUAUGACAAAGAUACCAGCACUGCCAUCCAUAACCAUAGCGUUAGCUGCAUGCCUUGCCGCUCUCAAGUGCGAAGCAAAAGCGAUAAUCGUCCUUACAAAAUCAGGGAUAUCGGCUAGAUGGUGCGCGUACUCAUCGCCUCCCUGCCCAAUUAUAGCUAUAACAACAGAAGAAUCUACAACGAGACGCCUACAUUUGUAUCGGAAAGUUAUACCAUUGUUUUAUAA